UAGUCCUAAAUAUUGUUGCAAAUUACUUUA
rnacentral:piRNA from 1 species